AGACGAACCGGACAAACGUUAUUCGGAAUUAUAGGGUUUAAAGGGUGCGUAGGCGGCACGAUCAGUUGGGUGUGAAAUCCCUUGGCUCAACCGAGGAACUGCGCCCAAAACUUCCGUGCUCGAGGGAGAUAGAGGUGAGCGGAACUUAGGGUGGAGCGGUGAAAUGCGUUGAUAUCCUAAGGAACACCGGUGGCGAAGGCGGCUCACUGGAUCUCUUCUGACGCUGAGGCACGAAAGCUAGGGUAGCGAACGGGAUUAGAAACCCUGGUAGUCC
rnacentral:rRNA from 1 species